rnacentral:tRNA from 1 species
GCGGUCGUAGCUUAAUUGGCAAAGUCCAUGACUGUGACUCAUGAGGAUACCGGUUCAAACCCGAUCGAUCGCCCCA